UGUGGGAUGCCGAAGUCGGGUCCCGCGUUUAUCACUCGCUGAAUCUCAGGAGAUUUAAUCAUGAGC
rnacentral:sRNA from 1 species